GAGCGAACAGAUAAGGAGCUUGCUCCUUUGACGUUAGCGGCGGACGGGUGAGUAACACGUGGGUAACCUACCUAUAAGACUGGGAUAACUUCGGGAAACCGGAGCUAAUACCGGAUAACAUUUGGAACCGCAUGGUUCUAAAGUGAAAGAUGGUUUUGCUAUCACUUAUAGAUGGACCCGCGCCGUAUUAGCUAGUUGGUAAGGUAACGGCUUACCAAGGCGACGAUACGUAGCCGACCUGAGAGGGUGAUCGGCCACACUGGAACUGAGACACGGUCCAGACUCCUACGGGAGGCAGCAGUAGGGAAUCUUCCGCAAUGGGCGAAAGCCUGACGGAGCAACGCCGCGUGAGUGAUGAAGGGUUUCGGCUCGUAAAACUCUGUUAUUAGGGAAGAACAAAUGUGUAAGUAACUGUGCACGUCUUGACGGUACCUAAUCAGAAAGCCACGGCUAACUACGUGCCAGCAGCCGCGGUAAUACGUAGGUGGCAAGCGUUAUCCGGAAUUAUUGGGCGUAAAGCGCGCGUAGGCGGUUUCUUAAGUCUGAUGUGAAAGCCCACGGCUCAACCGUGGAGGGUCAUUGGAAACUGGGAAACUUGAGUGCAGAAGAGGAAAGUGGAAUUCCAUGUGUAGCGGUGAAAUGCGCAGAGAUAUGGAGGAACACCAGUGGCGAAGGCGACUUUCUGGUCUGUAACUGACGCUGAUGUGCGAAAGCGUGGGGAUCAAACAGGAUUAGAUACCCUGGUAGUCCACGCCGUAAACGAUGAGUGCUAAGUGUUAGGGGGUUUCCGCCCCUUAGUGCUGCAGCUAACGCAUUAAGCACUCCGCCUGGGGAGUACGACCGCAAGGUUGAAACUCAAAGGAAUUGACGGGGACCCGCACAAGCGGUGGAGCAUGUGGUUUAAUUCGAAGCAACGCGAAGAACCUUACCAAAUCUUGACAUCCUUUGAAAACUCUAGAGAUAGAGCCUUCCCCUUCGGGGGACAAAGUGACAGGUGGUGCAUGGUUGUCGUCAGCUCGUGUCGUGAGAUGUUGGGUUAAGUCCCGCAACGAGCGCAACCCUUAAGCUUAGUUGCCAUCAUUAAGUUGGGCACUCUAGGUUGACUGCCGGUGACAAACCGGAGGAAGGUGGGGAUGACGUCAAAUCAUCAUGCCCCUUAUGAUUUGGGCUACACACGUGCUACAAUGGACAAUACAAAGGGCAGCUAAACCGCGAGGUCAUGCAAAUCCCAUAAAGUUGUUCUCAGUUCGGAUUGUAGUCUGCAACUCGACUACAUGAAGCUGGAAUCGCUAGUAAUCGUAGAUCAGCAUGCUACGGUGAAUACGUUCCCGGGUCUUGUACACACCGCCCGUCACACCACGAGAGUUUGUAACACCCGAAGCCGGUGGAGUAACCAUUUA
rnacentral:rRNA from 1 species